rnacentral:tRNA from 1 species
GGUUGUAGCUUAGUGGGAAAGCACUUGCCUAGGGCGUGUGAGGUACUGGGUUCGAUCCCCAGCACCA